AACGUAGGGUGCAAGCGUUGUCCGGAAUUACUGGGUGUAAAGGGAGCGCAGGCGGACGAUCAAGUUGGGAGUGAAAUCUAUGGGCUCAACCCAUAAAUUGCUUUCAAAACUGGUUGUCUUGAGUAGUGCAGAGGUAGGCGGAAUUCCCGGUGUAGCGGUGGAAUGCGUAGAUAUCGGGAGGAACACCAGUGGCGAAGGCGGCCUACUGGGCACCAACUGACGCUGAGGCUCGAAAGUAUGGGUAGCAAACAGG
rnacentral:rRNA from 1 species